GACAGAGGGUGCUAGCGUUGUUCGGAAUUACUGGGCGUAAAGGGCGCGUAGGCGGCCCGUUUAGUCGGGUGUGAAAUCCCGGGGCUCAACCUCGGAUCGGCCGUGGCGACUCGUGGGCUGGAGCACUGUAGAGGCGGGUGGAAUUCCGGGUGUAGCGGUGGAAUGCGUAGAGAUCCGGAAGAACACCAGUGGCGAAGGCGGCCCGCUGGGCAGUGGCUGACGCUGAGGCGCGACAGCGUGGGGAGCAAACAGG
rnacentral:rRNA from 1 species